UGCAAUGACAUAUACAUGUAGGGUUUAUUUUACACAAUACUGCAAGUGUAAUAAUUGUUUUGUUUAUAUACUUUUUUUAGAUAAAACUGCACUCAAUGUAAUGGUAUCACACUGAUCCCUUAUUUUAACAUCAUUUGUGUAUUCCAAUAUAAAAAGACACAGAUAAAGCAGUAUAAUAUUAGGCUAAAAAAAACUCAACAAGUAUGAUUCAAUUUAGAUUACAUCAUAAAAUGUUACCAUUGUUUUAAACAAAUAAACCACAAAG
rnacentral:lncRNA from 1 species